AUAGAAUCCAGGACAAGGCAGUGAAGUCUAUAUCAUAUUCUUAUGGCACUUCUUUCAGCUAAAGAGAUCCAGUCCGUACUUGUUCUGUGACUCAUGUUAUCUGAAUCAUUUUAAAAUGCUACAACUGAAACUGUAUUUUCAAAAAAAACCCUAGCAGCUCUAUAGACAAUGAUACUGCGUUAAAUCUUCUCUCUGUACCGGGUUAAAGUCAAGUCUGACCUUCCAUCUCCUUCCAUUCCAAUCUCUUCUCUGUUUAAAAAGUCUAGGCAGAAACAGAAGAAGAGGUGAAGUAUCCCUAAAGUAUUAUAGGCAAGGUAAAAAAAGAUGACCAGGAAACAGAUCAGAUAAGUUGGUGCCAACAGUCCAUGCCGCAGUAUCAUUCAGUGCUUCUUUGCCGAUAUUGCAGUUAUCUGAUACGGUAAUUUUAGUUAAUGCACUGUCAGGCACAAGCAGUACAAAAACACGCAGCUGUAUUUAAACACCUGCCCACUAAAGCAACAAAAAUAUGCCUCGCUUGAGGUGUCCAUCAUCACUAAGCCGUUGCUUGAUUUGCAAUUCCAAAUGCAUCUAAGCCACAUGGGAAUGCUGCUAUAAACCACACGCCUUGUUAAGCAUCUUUGCUUUCUGGAUGGUUACUCUGUGUAGCACUGCUACUGAGUGAGCGACUGAUAUAUUGCUAGGUGUUAGAAACAUGUUAGAUGAACCCUCUGCGUGUCAGCGUGUCGAUGGCUGCCAGUCUGGAGAUGCCCCCUAGAGCAUCCACCCUCAGUGCUGUGAGCUGCAGUGAAGGAAACGGCGACAAGGACAGGAAAGCAGAGAUGAUCAGAGCAGCAGCAGGAGACGAGCAUUGCUGUCAAGGGCAGCCCAGCUGACCCCAGGACUGUCCCUGCUUUAGAAGUGGUGUGUGUACGCGGUGUGGAGGAAGCUGUUACAUGUGUGAGAAACCUCCAGGGAAAGAGCACAGUGCUGGACUGGGUAAGACAAGGGAGAGGGAGACCUGGUUUCUGCCCUCGGCAUAUUUUGAGGAAAUCAUCACAGACCCUUACUUCCAGGAACAUCCAACCGUCUGCACCUUGAAGUAUCCAUCCUGUCUCCUGGCGCUUCAGGCUCUUUAUCCUUCCUCCUCUCUAUCCCCAGUGCAUCCCAUUGUGAUUCCAAAAUGUAACUUAAUGUCGGUGUAGACAAGGUGGUGUAGGAUAUGCAACACAGCAUGGCACAGGAAUGAGAUACCAAAAAAUGCCUAACCCGCCGUGGGAAGUUUUUUGGGGGGGUUGUCUAACUGUCCUUUGGCUGGGGUUUUGGGAAUAGCUUAAGGGACUUAAAUGUACUUGUGAGAUAUAAAGACUGGACUUGUAAUGGGUGUGUAAAUGUUUUGUAGUACUCAAUCUUCUAACUUUCAGCCCCUGCCUCCAGCCCAAGGAGCUGGCUGUAUGUUUGCUCUGGCAUCCAAGCUGCACGUUGAAAGCCCUUCAGGCUGAUAGAAGGGAGAAGGCAGGUGGACCAUGCUGGGCAAGUGACCAGAGCGAGCUGCGUGCUUUUCUUUUAUUCCAGUUUUCCAUGGCGCCUCCCCAGCCGAGGUCAGCAAGCCAAGCCUGACUCACGGGUGGGCUGCCCUGCUAGAGAACAAUGUAGAUGUGCAGCGAGAGAUUAGUUAACAAAAGCUUAGGAGUGUCUCCGUUCAAAUUAAGUAACAGAUGGACCUGGUCUGUGUGGGAGCUGAUAACGGUUAUAAAAAGGCCAUCACCAGACUGUGGCCAGCCCACCCUGGAAAAAACCCACUCAGUUGUAAAUCCUCUGUGCUGUUAUAGCUGCUUGCGCUAGUAAGGCUUUAUUUUUACCAGCUAUCAUAAAACAGCAUGACUUAUUUUAGAUGCAUGGCUUGUACCGCUCAGUUAAAAGGGUGCCAGCUCUCUGAUAGACACCUACAAACAGAGGAGAUGUGCCCGCCUGGGCCGGGAACAUGAAGCAUAAUUAACCUAGAGAAGGCAAACGCAACAUCACAGAGCAGUGUUUGGCAUUCCACAUAGUUCUGGCUUUUGCUUUUCUCCUCUCUUCCACAGCUAGCCAAUGGCCCUCAUUUCUUCUGAAAUGCUGAUAAUUAGGGAGUCGCUGGCGGUCUCAGCAGUACCAGGACCCCACAGGACAAAGUUGCCUGGAAGAGCAUUGAGCAUGGAAGCCAGCGUAGGUGUUGCCUGGUGAAGACCACACGGCGCUUUCUAAUGGUUUCCCAAAGUUUGCUCGCGUCACGUUGGGAUGCAGCUGCAGAUACACUGGCUCACGCAUCCAUCUGACAAGGGCUCCUGGAGGACUGAAUGUACGUGCAAGACGGGAAGGAAGCAAUACUUGGGUGGAUGACUAAUACCUAAUACUUAGAAGAGAUUAAGAUGGAAGCAGCAAGGCCAGAGAGCUUCCAGCACGUCGGAUUGCAUCUCUUUCUGUAAGGUAUUUCGGGCCAUCUUCAGCUCAAAGAAAAGAUGGAAAGAGUUAAAACUUGCCCCUUAAAACCUGGGAUGAAGGGUAAUGGAGAGGGACCAGAAAGGAAACAUGAAAAGGAAUGCUGUGCAUAGAAGAGGCUGUUAUUAUCAGCCCUUGCAUUCCUGAAUAGUUUCUCCCUUCCCAAGAAAGAAACGCAAGGCUGAACCGAUAGUCUCAUUUUCCUUGGGUAAGCAACACGGAACAGGGCAUGAAGCUCCUGCGUUGCAUUAGAUACCACUAACCGGGGGAUUAAAUCCUGCCCAGAUAAUUUAUUUUGCCUUGCUACUGGCCUCAGAGGUCAAGCCCCUGACACAGAUGCUCUGGGCUCACAAUGUUACGCUGACUCUCCAGGAGGAAAAAACAGGGGCAGGUGGCCUUGCUGUGUGGCUUUGAGGGAAGGUCGUUAGGCAGGAGAGCUUCUAAUUACGUCUGCACCAAGACUCUGGCAAAAACCAGAAGAGAAAUAAGGCAACAAGGAAACAAUUACAGAUCACUUGGCUAGGAAGGUAUCAAAACAGUCACGUUGUACCAAGCGCCGUUCUUGCCGUUUUCAUUAACAAAUGGACAGCAUAAUUACAUCUUCAGACUGGUCUGGCUCACAGCCAACACAGACCGUGAAAAUUAGUGCGUUCACAGAAAAUGGGACAUGAGGGGAUCUCAGGAGGCCAGCGCAUCCCCACCUCUGCUUCAGGGCAGGAAAACCCAUGGGAUGCAACUGAAUUCUGCCCUGGAUGUCUGCCGAGGUUCUUGCAUGCGGUGUUUCCCCGUCAUCGUUUUUAUCUGUUAAAAUGCUGUACAUUUACCAGUUUAAGCCUCAGUCCCUUCAAAUUCAGUGUCCCCUGCAAUUCAGUAAAGAUGUACGGUUCCAGUUCACUGGAGGGAAAAACUGAGGAAUGGGAAGUCACAGGAAGAAUAAGGAACACGCUCUCUCAGCCGGCAGUGGAUGUGACAUUCUGCGAUCUCUCUACUGGAUGAGAGCGCCUUGCAACAGCAAAAGCAAAGCCAAGGAACAAAAAUGGUGAGCGCUGAAAAGAAGUGGGAAUAUUUGCACAGGGCAGAUUUGAAACCAACCCUUCCUGCCUAUUCCCACUUGCCUUCCAUUGUUUCCCUAGCCAGCCCCAAGAAUUGCCACACAGGCGCAUCCUACGUUAUUUCUCACUUCAGCAAGUCCCUUUCCUCCCCAAAGUGGCAGAUGCUGAUACCAAAUUAGUGCAAAGUGGGAGGGAACCAGCAGAUAACUGUGAUGAGAGCCAGGGGCAAUGGUCUUCCUCCUGUCCUUUCCCUUCCUCCUGGCAGGGCUCUUGUUGCAGCAGACAGAUGCUAAGGGAAGUCUCCAGGGCAGUCAGGCCAGUGAGACAUGGCAGGGAUCUCUGGCCAGGAUCAGGGAGACAGAAUGAUCCAUAAUGGGAAAAGGGGCAAGUUCCUUUAUUUUUGUCUUGUGUGGGAAUUUGACUCAAGGAUUGCUGUGAAUCUCAUAAGCCAAAGUGACGUUUUCCAGGCUGAGCGCCAGCCAACGCACAGACUUGAUCUCAGCAGGUAUUUGACUUCGACAGGAGCUGGGAUGCUCGGCACCUGCCUGACCCUGGCUUUUGAUGAGGACACAUAUCUCAAAAGCUGCCUGAAAUGCAAAGACAGGAAAUAAGCGGAUAUGCUAUCAGCACCACGCUUUGCAAUACUCUUUAGUGGCUGGCUGUGUCCCAGCCAUCAAUACAGAGACUCGCAGGGUUUUAGCCUAUAAUCCUCUAUUCCUCUGUCUGUGACUCUAAUCUCUUGAUCCUCCGUUCUCCUCCAGCCUAGAGCUUGACCAGCAAAACACAGAUCUGAAGUUCUGCUUAUCAGCCACCGACCAUGUCAUCUUCCUGUGGAAAAUGGGAGUUGGGAAGAGAGUAGCAGUCAUCAGAGCCAAGAGCUGAGAGUAGGCUAGAGAAGGGAACAGGAGAAGGCGUGAGCAAGCACACAGAGAAAUCAUUUAUGACAUGACUGAAAACAGCUCUCUCUUUAAGAACAUUUUCUCCAAUUUUACAGUAUUAUUUUUGUCUUUUUUGUGUGCAUAAUUCUAGCCUCGGGUAUAAACCACAAUUGUCUAGUUAAUGGCGUUGCACAAAACGUACAAAUGAACAUUGCAAGAGAAUGACUGCAGGCGCCAGGGGAACAUUCACAUCUGCCUAUGAGCGUGCGACCAAGAGCCUGUGAAACUACUGCCGUCAUUCCAUGCUGGAGAGUUCCUCCAAGGGAAGCCGGUAUUGUUCAUAAAAGUUGCAACUAAAAUCGGACUGGAUACAGCUUAAGGAAAUACCUCUCAGAGGAGAACCCUGCCUUGGCUGCUGGAAACAAACGAGGAAAGGACUCUUGAGGACUCGGGAUCCUGGUUGGUCUCCGGAAAUCUUUCCCCUUGCUAACUCCCUCCCACCACUUCAGGCCUGCUCCGUAAGGAGUUCAUGAACCUUCUCCGGAUCAUCAGGGCUUGAUGCAAUCAACUGUGAAGCAUUAGCUCUAAAUAUACGACUGGGAGGCCAAUUCUGCUUCAACACACAAAGACUCAUCGCAGAAGAUGGUAAAGCAGCAAGCGCAAUUUGCAAGAGAAACUUAAAUAAUAAUCCAAGCCGCAAGGAAAGCAGGAGCAAGUGGGGGUGAUUUCUGGCGAUUCAACAUGUGUUCCCGGUGCAAACCCUCAGUGUGUGGACAGAUAAUUGAAAAACAGCUGCAGCAGGCCAAGAGACCCAGGAUUCAACUCAUACAAGGAAAAUAAACAGGUCAGGAAAAGAACCUAAGUUCACGAUCAGAGCAACAUCUCAGUCCACCGAGCUCUUUCUCCUCACUAAAGAAAACACAUUUUACUCUUUGAAUCUGCUUGUGCUUCAGUAACCGAGUAAUUCCCAGAAGUAUUCAGAGCAAGAGGGAAUGUGCUGGUGUCACGUUCUUUGUCAACAGCUGUAAAGUAGAUGUGCAUCCAACUCCUCUUUGGUGGUGAUGCCAGAUAUUGCUUACCCAAAUAGGAACACCAAGCCCUUCCCAAGAAUUUUUUUGAAGAGGUUAUUAAGUGUCUGAUUUUGGCAUGGCUCUCAAAGCCGUUCGUCCCUACUUUUUACUGCCUGUUGAAAAGAAAGCAAUACUGCAAAUACUUCCCAUCAGAAAAUGCCAACAAGCAACUUAUCAUAACUGCAAUAGAGCUAACAACAUUUCCACCAAGUGAUUUUUGGCACUGACAGCUGACUCGGAACAGUUGUUGGUGGCUGGGACAGAUGGAUAUUAAAAAGAAAAGAAAAAAAAAAAAGAAAUGAGAACUUCUACUCUGUACAGAGUUUGAGAAACCUUUUACAAAAUCCAACAUAUUACCAAAACCUCAGAUUCAAAUCAAAGGGAGAUUUGAAUAUACUGAGCUUUAAAACUGAAACGUGCCAAGAACCUGCCCUAUCUCCCUAUCAAGGAUUAUAAUGUAUCAACAUGUUUUAUUUUCAAUAGAAAAUACUUGAGAGUUUUAGGAAAGUCUCUACAGCUCUGCCUUCAGCACAGCAUGCGAAAUCCUCAAAAUCCAAAUGUUUGUUUCCACGGGGAAGCUUGCAACAGAGACCUUGAAGUAGGACGUAACAUCGAUAUCAACUGGGAGCAUCCCAAUCCAGAGUUAGCACCUGGAAGACUAUGCGGUGCUCCAGGGUCAGGAACUCCCAGUUUCUUCUGCUGAAACUGUUUCUGCUACAGACCACAGCAAAGCAAGCGAACAACAGACCCUGGAGCCCAUGACACCCGUCUCAUCGCAAAUGUGUGUCAGAGUCAUCUUCUCACCUCUCCACUCACUUUUUUGGUAAGCAGUGCCCAAAUCUCACUUUAUUGGAGGCCCAAGAGGCUCCGCAAGUUUUUUCAACUCACUGGAGAAUUUUUUUGUCCUUAGGUAAACUGUUGGAAAUAUUUCAAUACACUUCAGUCUUGAGUCGACCCGAAACAGUUAUCGGGGGUGUGUAACACACGUGCAUGCAUGCACAGCCCCGUGCAUUUUAGUAAUCAGUUGCUGGUUGUCACCCUAACCCCACUCUGUCCCGUUUUCUCCUCCUGCCAUCUGGGCGUGGGGGGGGGGGGAGGGCAAUGCAAGCCCACCGGCUGCUGUCCCCCUCCUCGUCCCCCCACUAUUAAUAGCCAGACAACAAAUGAGCCCAAAUUCAUUCCUGAGCGGAAUUAGCAAAUGUUUUUGCAAUUAAAACUGCAAACAUUCAUGCGGGGCCCCCGGAACAAUAGGCGCCUGUGCCUGGUCUUGAAUAGGCACUAGUGUCCGCCCUGCCUGCCUGCCGAGCCUGCACAUUCCUGGCACCCUCAGCCCUGGGCCCGCUCCUCGCUGCGCUGGGGGUUUGGGAUGUUUCCCCCCUCUCUCGUCCCGUCCCGUCCCCCCACCACCACUCCCCGCAGCACCACGCUCCCGCCGGGGGAGCCGGUGAGGUCGGGGCUGGCCCCGGACCCCACGGCACGGCCCGACCCCCGGCCCGGCUGUGAGCAGCCCGUCCCUGCAUCUCCCCGGGCCGGGGUGCGCAUCCUCCCCCUCCCUGCGCCAGGACAAGGGCCGGGGCACCGCAUCCCCCUUCUCCGGUUCCCCGGGACCCCGACCGGGGGCACCGCAGCAUCCCUCUUCCCCAGGACCCAGACCGGGGGCAGACCAUCCCCCUUCCCCGGGACCCCGACCGGGCCAGCGCAUCCCCCUUCCCCGGGACCCCGAUCGGGCCAGGGCAUUCCCCCUUCCCCUGUUCCCUGGGUCCCCGGGCAGCGCAUCCCCCUUUCCCGGUUCCCCAAGACGCUGACCGGGGACAGCGCAUCCCCCUUCGCCGGGACCCCGACCGGGCCAGCGCAUCCCCCUUCCCCGGUUCCCCAGGACCCAGACGGGGGGCAGAACAUCCCCCUUCCCCGGGACCCCGGGCAGCGCAUACCCCUUCCCCGGUUCCCCGGGACUCCAACCGGAGGACGGACAUCCCCCUUCCCCGGUUCCCCGGGACCCCGACCGGGGGACAGGGCAGCAUCCCCCUUCCCCGGGACCCCGACCAGGGACAGCGCAUCCCCCUUCCCCGGUUCCCCGGGACCCCGACCCGGGGCAGCGCGUCCCCGGGCCGCGCCGCGGCGGGUCCCGCGGGCCGGGGUGUCCCCGCUGUCGCCUGCUGCGGUGGCCGG